UACAGAGGUCUCAAGCGUUGUUCGGAUUUAUUGGGCGUAAAGCGCUCGCAGGUGGUUCGAUGCGUCGUGCGUGAAAGACCCCGGCUCAACUGGGGAGUGUCGUGCGAUACGGUCGGACUGGAGGCCAGUAGGGGGAUGCGGAAUUCCGGGUGUAGUGGUGGAAUGCGUAGAGAUCCGGAGGAACACCAGCGGCGAAGGCGGCAUCCUGGACUGGUCCUGACACUCAUGAGCGAAAGCGUGGGGAGCGAUCCGG
rnacentral:rRNA from 1 species